GACGAACGCUGGCGGCGUGCUUAACACAUGCAAGUCGAACGGAAAGGCCCUGCUUUUGUGGGGUGCUCGAGUGGCGAACGGGUGAGUAACACGUGAGUAACCUGCCCUUGACUUUGGGAUAACUUCAGGAAACUGGGGCUAAUACCGGAUAGGAGCUCCUGCUGCAUGGUGGGGGUUGGAAAGUUUCGGCGGUUGGGGAUGGACUCGCGGCUUAUCAGCUUGUUGGUGGGGUAGUGGCUUACCAAGGCUUUGACGGGUAGCCGGCCUGAGAGGGUGACCGGCCACAUUGGGACUGAGAUACGGCCCAGACUCCUACGGGAGGCAGCAGUGGGGAAUAUUGCACAAUGGGGGAAAGCCUGAUGCAGCAACGCCGCGUGCGGGAUGACGGCCUUCGGGUUGUAAACCGCUUUCGCCUGUGACGAAGCGUGAGUGACGGUAAUGGGUAAAGAAGCACCGGCUAACUACGUG
rnacentral:rRNA from 1 species